rnacentral:rRNA from 1 species
AGUGAACGCUGGCGGCGUGGAUAAGGCAUGCAAGUCGAGCGAUACUCGCAAGGGUAUAGCGGCAAACGGGUGAGUAACAGGUAGAUAACCUACCCUAAAGUGCGGGAUAGUCCGGCGAAGGCCGGAGUAAUACCGCAUGUGGUUCCGGAGUGGCAUCAUUCUGGAAAGGAAGACGGCCUCGACCGCAAGGUUGCUGUCGCUUUAGGAGGGAUCU